UUUAUGUGUUACAGAGAGCUGUUCCUUUCCGAUCCACUGCGCUGGAGGCGCUGAGCAGGAGGAUAUACACAACACAGAGUGACGUGUGGUCUUUCGGAAUUCUACUCUGGGAGAUUGUGACUUUGGGUGGAACCCCGUAUAGCGGAAUGAAAUCAAGACUUCUGUUGAGAAGGCUACACGAAGGAUACAGGCUGCCAAAGCCAAGGAACUGUGAUGAAGACUUGUAC